GUAUCGGUAUUCAAAAUGAAUGCGAUUAUCGCAGUUUAUCCAUAUAUAUAAGUAUAUAUAUGAGUUUAUCUAACAGUUUGUUUAAUUUUAUUACCUUUUUUAACAAAUGCGUCCCGGAAAGUAUUUGAAAAUCUUGAUCCCGGUCUGAGAUCAAAAAUACCUGACCAAGUUAUUAGAAUUUGGGAGCGCAUGAUGGCGCCAAAUAACGAAUAUUGCGUACAAGAAAGCGGAAUUAAUCCGAACCGCGUACGAGACAUCUUCGAAAAAAUGGAUAUGUCAAUUGAUCGUCUUGACUGUUUCGCAAGAUGUCAUUAUCAGAGAUUGGGAUUUGUGGAUUUUGAGGAAAAAUUUUAUCCAAAAGUAAUGGCGAGCACAAUUCAUCGUUUGUCUGAGGGAAUAGCCGAACACUGCAUACAUAAAUUUAAGCAGGAAAAAAAUUUUUGUCAAAGAGUACUUUUAAUAGUUAAAUGCAAUCUUAAUUUAAUUGCUAAGCAGUAUUAAUGAAAUUCAUGAAUGCGUUA